rnacentral:tRNA from 1 species
UAUCUCAGUUGGUUGAGUGUGGUGCUGAUAACACCAAGGUCACGGGUUCAAUUCCCGU